UUUGUUGCUUCCGCCGCAACCACAAAAUAGUUUCUUCAAGAAUUAGUUUAUGGAUGGAUGAAGAGGAAGAUCAAACCCGAAUCCAAUCUGGUUUUGUUGAUUGAAUCAUGAAAGCAUAAUGAUAUCUCCUCUCAAAUCUAAAGCUUUCAGAAACGACAUCGCCUCCAAUUUGUGUUAUGAUUCUGUGUUCCCCAUACAUAUAGUUCCUGGGAGAAGAUGAAGGAAUUCGUUGUGCCUUUUCCAAUUCCUGGUUUCGUCCAUGGUCGAGGAGACCAAUUGAAGUGAACAGUUGAAUUCUGGAUAAGCGGCUGAUUGGAUUGAUGGUCCUGUAGGAAAAGAUGGAAAAAUACAUUUUAGGAGAGAUCUAAUCCACCUGACAGAAGAAGGCUGCUAGAAAGAGCAUAUUUGAUGCAGAAGUCAAAAACUGAUGCAGAUCUAAUCCUCUUUGGACUUUGAGAACUUAUAGAUGAAGUCUUUGUUUCUAUCAAAAACUGAACUGGUUUGUUGGGUAAUUCCACGUUGACGAGACUGAGCUGCAAAAACAAACCUGACUAAUUACCAAUGUGAUCAUCUUUCUAUACUUUUCCUCUCCACUCUGGAGAUCACCACUAAUUUUUAUUGUCAUAAUGACUUGUCCUCUCAAGGGUAGUGUUUUUUAUUUGGUCCUUGUCCAAUGAAUCUGAAGCCUCCCCAGAUCUGCUGUCUUCCUGGUAAAGAUCUUAAGCACCAAACUUGAAAUUGCUGGGAUCUUCUAUGGAUCGAUGGAUGAUUACUGGCCUGUGUAAAAAAUUCGACAUCUCCGGCUCAAAAAGAGGUAAUCGGGUCCACUAAGAUGACGAGGAGAGUAAACUUUAACAGAAAAGGUGCUGGCUGCAGCGUCAUUCAAUGGAUUGAUUGUCAUAUUGAUUUCUCCUCUCAAAAAUAACAAUGGGAUCAUCAUGGUGGAUACUGAUUGCCUAAUUAUUACAACUUCUGCUCAGUGUGCGACUGUGGCCAAACACCAGACAGUUAGUUAAAGGCAAGGAUAGUUGGCAUGCCAGGAGCUUGCAUAUGCAUGUGGUUUCAUUCCCGAUGAUAGUUAAGAACUCUAGACGGAAGGACAAGGGAGCUGGCAUGCAGUUGCAGGGAAACAAAUUGUUUACUAGCCUACUAGGGGUGUUAUAUAUGAGUGCAAUCUUGAACACUGUUUCAGUGGCAGUUGUGGCAUAUCUGGCUCGACUGGAAACAAGUAUCUUUCUAGGAAAAGAAGCAUAUUUUGUUUCAACUAAGCUCUAACAUGAAAUCUUCUUUCCUAGCUUCAAGUUCGUCAAGGAAUUUUUGGUAACUUUAGGACAUUGGAAAUGUGCAUACCCUUAAGUUGACUCUUCAUUCUUGUUUUGUUCUACUCAAAUGUGUAGUAAUUUGUAGACUGCAUUCAGCUCAAUAAUCUUCUGUAGUUGGUGGUUGUUCAUGCCACUUAUCCAUGUGAUAGUUGAUUCGUUAUUUUUUGGUUUGGUUUGA